rnacentral:rRNA from 1 species
UACGGAGGAUGCGAGCGUUAUCCGGAUUUAUUGGGUUUAAAGGGUGCGUAGGCGGGUUAUCAAGUCAGCGGUAAAAUACGGGGGCUCAACCUCCGCCCGCCGUUGAAACUGACGGUCUUGAGUGGGCGAGAAGUAUGCGGAAUGCGCGGUGUAGCGGUGAAAUGCAUAGAUAUCGCGCAGAACUCCGAUUGCGAAGGCAGCAUGCCGGCUCCACACUGACGCUGAGGCACGAAAGCGUGGGUAUCGAACAGG